CUACUACUCCCUCCGUCCGAAAAUAGUUGUCAUCAAAAUGGAUGAAAAGAGAUGUAUCUAGAACUAAAAUACAUCUAGAUACAUUCUCUUUUAUUCUUUUUGAUGACAACUAUUUUCGGACGGAGGGAGUACAAC
rnacentral:pre_miRNA from 1 species